AAACCGCGAAUGGCUCAUUAAAUCAGUUAUGGUUCCUUAGAUCGUACCUUACUACUUGGAUAACUGUGGUAAUUCUAGAGCUAAUACAUGCAGCAGAGCUCCGACCUUCGGGGACGAGCGCUUUUAUUAGACCAAGACCAAUCGGACUUCGGUCCGAAGCUCAUGGUGACUCUGGAUAACUUUGGGCUGAUCGCACGGUCUCGUACCGGCGACGCAUCUUUCAAGUGUCUGCCUUAUCAACUUUCGAUGGUAGGUUAUGCGCCUACCAUGGUCGUAACGGGUAACGGGGAAUCAGGGUUCGAUUCCGGAGAGGGAGCCUGAGAAACGGCUACCACAUCCAAGGAAGGCAGCAGGCGCGCAAAUUACCCACUCCCGGCACGGGGAGGUAGUGACGAAAAAUAACAAUACGGGACUCUAUUGAGGCCCCGUAAUUGGAAUGAGUACACUCUAAAUCCUUUAACGAGGAUCUAUUGGAGGGCAAGUCUGGUGCCAGCAGCCGCGGUAAUUCCAGCUCCAAUAGCGUAUAUUAAAGUUGUUGCGGUUAAAAAGCUCGUAGUUGGAUCUCAGUUCCAGACGGGUGGUCCACCUUUGGUGGUUACUGCCUGGCCUGAACAAAUCCAGCCGGUUUUCCUUGAUGCUCUUCACCGAGUGUCUUGGGUGACCGGCACGUUUACUUUGAAAAAAUUAGAGUGCUCAAAGCAGGCGUGACGCCUGAAUAAUGGUGCAUGGAAUAAUGGAAUAGGACCUCGGUUCUAUUUUGUUGGUUUUCGGAACACGAGGUAAUGAUUAAGAGGGACAGACGGGGGCAUUCGUAUUGCGACGCUAGAGGUGAAAUUCUUGGACCGUCGCAAGACGAACUACU
rnacentral:rRNA from 1 species